UACGGAGGGUGCGAACGUUAAUCGGAAUUACUGGGCGUAAAGCGCGCGUAGGCGGUUUAUCAAGUGGGAUGUGAAAGCCCGGGGCUUAACCUCGGAACUGCAUUCCAAACUGACAGACUAGAGUACGAGAGAGGGGGGUAGAAUUCAGAGUGUAGCGGUGAAAUGCGUAGAUAUUCUGAGGAAUACCGGUGGCGAAGGCGGCCCCCUGGCUUGAUACUGACGCUGAGGUGCGAAAGCGUGGGGAGCAAACAGG
rnacentral:rRNA from 1 species